ACUGGUAUGAAUGGCUAAACGAGAAAUCUUCUUUUUUUAUUAUAAAUAUGGAAUUUAUUUUCUUAGUGAAAAAACUAAGAUAUUCCUGAAAGACGAGAAGACCCUAUAGAGUUUUAUACAGUAAGUCAUCAUAUUGCAUUAGAUUUGGGCCGGUAUGAUUUUAUUCUGUAAUUUGUUGGGGCGACAUUAAGAUAAAAAAAACUCUUUUUUAUAUAAACUUUGAUAAAUGAAUAAUUUGAUCCUUUAAAAAAGAUAAUAAGAUAAAAUUACCUUAGGGAUAACAGCGUAAUCUUUUUUGAGAGUUCUAAUCGACAAAAAGGUUUGCGACCUCGAUGUUGGACUAAAAUUUAGAUGUGGUGCAGCAGCUACAUUUUAGGGUCUGUUCGACCCAUAAUAUUUUACAUGAUCUGAGUUCAGACCGGCGUGAGCCAGGUUGGU
rnacentral:rRNA from 1 species